GGAGGAAUAGCGCAGAUCAUGUUGUUACAAAGUUUGCUACUUGUUCAAGCAAUUGUCAUUCGAGAUUCUCUCAAGAUGCUAAUGAUGAUGGUGCUAAUUACAACUUAAGACUGAANCAUUGCUGCUCGAAGUGCUCCAACAAGUGGAUUCUCAAGUCCUAUGGUUAGUCCUCGAAGAUCAAAUGCAGGGGAACUCUCUCCUGGCGAUGCUACAGAUGCAUUCAAGUCUUCAAGCAAUUGUUGCAAGGGACAGUCUCAUGAUCUAAAUACUGAAAGUUUUAAGUACAAGUUGAGUCAGAUUGCUUCUCCCAGGAGUGCUCCAACAAGCGGUUUCUCAAGCCCUGCUGUUAGCCCACAAAGAUCAAACACUGGGGACUUUUUACCAUCUUUUGUAGCUUCACAAGCAUGUCAUAAGCAGUCAGCUUUGGAAGUACCAGACUUGGGUAGGCAUGGUGGUCAUAGUUCACAAGUGUCACCACUCAAACCCAUGCAUAGUCCAGAUCAUUCUCCAUUUUGUAGCCCAUCAUUGCAAAGUCCCUACCUCAACCCCAAAAGUCACUAUAAGUUUUCAUUUCCAUCGCAUAAUAAAUUGCUUCAAGGGAAUUCUAAGGAGUGGCCUGAGACUAAUAGCCAUUUUAGUGCUCAUCCAUUGCCCCUUCCUCCUGGAGCCGCCCCGCCACAGUCGCCUGUGCCAUCUCCACCAGCUGUUCUCCAUCACGCAAUAGAGAAGCCAAAUUUAUUAUUGAGAAAAACUCAGUGGCAGAAAGGAAAACUUAUUGGACGUGGUACUUAUGGAAGUGUUUAUGUUGGAACCAACCUAGAGACUGGAGCUUUAUGUGCAAUGAAGGAAGUUGACAUCAUCCCUGAUGACCCCAAAUCUGCUGAAUGCAUAAAGCAGCUAGAGCAGGAAAUUAGACUUCUUCAACAUCUAA
rnacentral:misc_RNA from 1 species